rnacentral:rRNA from 2 species
UCUAGUGAUGAUGGCAAAGAGGUCACACCCGUUCCCAUACCGAACACGGAAGUUAAGCUCUUUAGCGCCGAUGGUAGUUGGGGGUUUCCCCCUGUGAGAGUAGGACGUCGCUAGGC